rnacentral:rRNA from 1 species
CCUACGGGAGGCAGCAGUGGGGAAUAUUGCACAAUGGGGGAAACCCUGAUGCAGCGACGCCGCGUGAGUGAAGAAGUAUUUCGGUACGUAAAGCUCUAUCAGCAGGGAAGAAAAUGACGGUACCUGACUAAGAAGCCCCGGCUAACUACGUGCCAGCAACCGCGGUAAUACGUAGGGGGCAAGCGUUAUCCGGAUUUACUGGGUGUAAAGGGAGCGUAGACGGCAGCGCAAGUCUGGAGUGAAAUCCCAUGGCUUAACCAUGGAACUGCUUUGGAAACUGUGCAGCUAGAGUGCAGGAGAGGUAAGCGGAAUUCCUAGUGUAGCGGUGAAAUGCGUAGAUAUUAGGAGGAACACCAGUGGCGAAGGCGGCUUACUGGACUGUAACUGACGUUGAGGCUCGAAAGCGUGGGGAGCAAACAGGAUUAGAUACCCGAGUAGUC